GGAUGCGAUCAUACCAGCACUAAAGCAACGGAUCCCAUCAGGUCUCCGAAGUUAAGCGUGCGUGGGCGAGAGUAGUACUAGGAUGGGUGACCUCUUGGGAAGUCCUCAUGUUGCAUUCC
rnacentral:rRNA from 1 species